AAAGGAGAAGGUUCGAAGGGGAAAAGUGUAAAGAAGUUAAAGAAGGGUGAGGUCAACUACUGUCCAGAUCCGCCUGAAGGACAGAGUCCAGAAAACAUGGAGGAGAAGCGUAAUAUGAUGGAGGCUGAAAUGCUGAAAAGAGACCCUGAUCCCCAGCUGGUAGAAGACCUGAUGGUUGCUACGUUUUCCCAGCGCAGAAAAGAGAUAAUUGGAGAUCAGUCACUCAUCACAGAAGUCAUUUCCAGAUGGCCAGCUCUGUUGCAUGAGAGACAGACUUGAUGGCCUGGUCCCAAGACUGCUAGAGGUGUACAAAGAAGCAAUCACUCAAAGACAUUUUGGACUGCCUUCAGAAAGAUGAUACAAAUGAGAAGAGAAGAACUGCUGCCUUGCUUGGUCUGCCACACUACAUAUCAGGCGAAGAUCCAUCAACUGUAGUCAGGAUGUGUGACGUAAGACCAUUAUGAUUUCUGUAACGCAAAACUGUUAGUGUGUGUAUAUGGGUGAUUCUUUUACUGUGGGACUUUUUCUUUUCCCAGGGUAGAUUUUCAAGAAAGAAAAAUACUUCAUACCCCAACCCAGACUUAUUAACGUUGCCUGUCUAAUAGUCAUGAAAACUCAUUCAAUUCAUUCAAACUUUACUUUGCAUUUUCUCAUAACUUAAAUGACAGAUUUCAAGUUCAUGUGGUUUAUAAUGUGUAAUUUACACUUCUUUUUUUCUUUAUAUAUGGCUGUUCCGGUCACUCAUCUUUUAGAGAACAAUUUUAAAACAUUUGCUAAAGUGCUUCAGUGUCUGAACUAUUUCUGUCUUACUUCCAAGGGUUGAAAUUCUGAAAAUGAAUUGAUAGUUGGUGUUACUGAUCAGGUUCAGUCUAUUUGGGGAACAACUAAAGGGUGUGACUUUCCUGCUCUAUAUUUGAGGAUUAUGAUUGCAUUUUAAAAUAGCCUUUUAAAGCCUAUGUAAUUGUAGACUA